GGUUAAGCGACUAAGCGUACACGGUGGAUGCCCUGGCAGUCAGAGGCGAUGAAGGACGUGCUAAUCUGCGAUAAGCGUCGGUAAGGUGAUAUGAACCGUUAUAACCGGCGAUUUCCGAAUGGGGAAACCCAGUGUGAUUCGUCACACUAUCAUUAACUGAAUCCAUAGGUUAAUGAGGCGAACCGGGGGAACUGAAACAUCUAAGUACCCCGAGGAAAAGAAAUCAACCGAGAUUCCCCCAGUAGCGGCGAGCGAACGGGGAGCAGCCCAGAGCCUGAAUCAGUGUGUGUGUUAGUGGAAGCGUCUGGAAAGGCGCGCGAUACAGGGUGACAGCCCCGUACACAAAAAUGCACAUGCUGUGAGCUCGAUGAGUAGGGCGGGACACGUGGUAUCCUGUCUGAAUAUGGGGGGACCAUCCUCCAAGGCUAAAUACUCCUGACUGACCGAUAGUGAACCAGUACCGUGAGGGAAAGGCGAAAAGAACCCCGGCGAGGGGAGUGAAAAAGAACCUGAAACCGUGUACGUACAAGCAGUGGGAGCACGCUUAGGCGUGUGACUGCGUACCUUUUGUAUAAUGGGUCAGCGACUUAUAUUCUGUAGCAAGGUUAACCGAAUAGGGGAGCCGAAGGGAAACCGAGUCUUAACUGGGCGUUAAGUUGCAGGGUAUAGACCCGAAACCCGGUGAUCUAGCCAUGGGCAGGUUGAAGGUUGGGUAACACUAACUGGAGGACCGAACCGACUAAUGUUGAAAAAUUAGCGGAUGACUUGUGGCUGGGGGUGAAAGGCCAAUCAAACCGGGAGAUAGCUGGUUCUCCCCGAAAGCUAUUUAGGUAGCGCCUCGUGAAUUCAUCUCCGGGGGUAGAGCACUGUUUCGGCAAGGGGGUCAUCCCGACUUACCAACCCGAUGCAAACUGCGAAUACCGGAGAAUGUUAUCACGGGAGACACACGGCGGGUGCUAACGUCCGUCGUGAAGAGGGAAACAACCCAGACCGCCAGCUAAGGUCCCAAAGUCAUGGUUAAGUGGGAAACGAUGUGGGAAGGCCCAGACAGCCAGGAUGUUGGCUUAGAAGCAGCCAUCAUUUAAAGAAAGCGUAAUAGCUCACUGGUCGAGUCGGCCUGCGCGGAAGAUGUAACGGGGCUAAACCAUGCACCGAAGCUGCGGCAGCGACGCUGAUGCGUUGUUGGGUAGGGGAGCGUUCUGUAAGCCUGCGAAGGUGUGCUGUGAGGCAUGCUGGAGGUAUCAGAAGUGCGAAUGCUGACAUAAGUAACGAUAAAGCGGGUGAAAAGCCCGCUCGCCGGAAGACCAAGGGUUCCUGUCCAACGUUAAUCGGGGCAGGGUGAGUCGACCCCUAAGGCGAGGCCGAAAGGCGUAGUCGAUGGGAAACAGGUUAAUAUUCCUGUACUUGGUGUUACUGCGAAGGGGGGACGGAGAAGGCUAUGUUGGCCGGGCGACGGUUGUCCCGGUUUAAGCGUGUAGGCUGGUUUUCCAGGCAAAUCCGGAAAAUCAAGGCUGAGGCGUGAUGACGAGGCACUACGGUGCUGAAGCAACAAAUGCCCUGCUUCCAGGAAAAGCCUCUAAGCAUCAGGUAACAUCAAAUCGUACCCCAAACCGACACAGGUGGUCAGGUAGAGAAUACCAAGGCGCUUGAGAGAACUCGGGUGAAGGAACUAGGCAAAAUGGUGCCGUAACUUCGGGAGAAGGCACGCUGAUAUGUAGGUGAAGUCCCUCGCGGAUGGAGCUGAAAUCAGUCGAAGAUACCAGCUGGCUGCAACUGUUUAUUAAAAACACAGCACUGUGCAAACACGAAAGUGGACGUAUACGGUGUGACGCCUGCCCGGUGCCGGAAGGUUAAUUGAUGGGGUUAGCGCAAGCGAAGCUCUUGAUCGAAGCCCCGGUAAACGGCGGCCGUAACUAUAACGGUCCUAAGGUAGCGAAAUUCCUUGUCGGGUAAGUUCCGACCUGCACGAAUGGCGUAAUGAUGGCCAGGCUGUCUCCACCCGAGACUCAGUGAAAUUGAACUCGCUGUGAAGAUGCAGUGUACCCGCGGCAAGACGGAAAGACCCCGUGAACCUUUACUAUAGCUUGACACUGAACAUUGAGCCUUGAUGUGUAGGAUAGGUGGGAGGCUUUGAAGUGUGGACGCCAGUCUGCAUGGAGCCGACCUUGAAAUACCACCCUUUAAUGUUUGAUGUUCUAACGUUGACCCGUAAUCCGGGUUGCGGACAGUGUCUGGUGGGUAGUUUGACUGGGGCGGUCUCCUCCUAAAGAGUAACGGAGGAGCACGAAGGUUGGCUAAUCCUGGUCGGACAUCAGGAGGUUAGUGCAAUGGCAUAAGCCAGCUUGACUGCGAGCGUGACGGCGCGAGCAGGUGCGAAAGCAGGUCAUAGUGAUCCGGUGGUUCUGAAUGGAAGGGCCAUCGCUCAACGGAUAAAAGGUACUCCGGGGAUAACAGGCUGAUACCGCCCAAGAGUUCAUAUCGACGGCGGUGUUUGGCACCUCGAUGUCGGCUCAUCACAUCCUGGGGCUGAAGUAGGUCCCAAGGGUAUGGCUGUUCGCCAUUUAAAGUGGUACGCGAGCUGGGUUUAGAACGUCGUGAGACAGUUCGGUCCCUAUCUGCCGUGGGCGCUGGAGAACUGAGGGGGGCUGCUCCUAGUACGAGAGGACCGGAGUGGACGCAUCACUGGUGUUCGGGUUGUCAUGCCAAUGGCACUGCCCGGUAGCUAAAUGCGGAAGAGAUAAGUGCUGAAAGCAUCUAAGCACGAAACUUGCCCCGAGAUGAGUUCUCCCUGACUCCUUGAGAGUCCUGAAGGAACGUUGAAGACGACGACGUUGAUAGGCCGGGUGUGUAAGCGCAGCGAUGCGUUGAGCUAACCGGUACUAAUGAACCGUGAGGCUUAACCUU
rnacentral:rRNA from 2 species